UACGUAGGGUGCAAGCGUUGUCCGGAAUUAUUGGGCGUAAAGAGCUCGUAGGCGGUUCGUCGCGUCGGCUGUGAAAUCCCGAGGCUCAACCUCGGGUCUGCAGUCGAUACGGGCGGACUGGAGUUCGGCAGGGGGGACUGGGAAUUCCUGGUGGUAGCGGUGAAAUGCGCAGAUAUACAGGAGGAACACCGGUGGCGAAGGCGGGUCUCUGGGCCGAUGACUGACGCUGAGGAGCGAAAGCGUGGGGAGCGAACAGG
rnacentral:rRNA from 1 species